rnacentral:rRNA from 1 species
ACGCUCGACACCUACGGGAGCAGCAGUGGGGAAUAUUGCACAAUGGGGGAAACCCUGAUGCAGCGACGCCGCGUGAAGGAAGAAGUAUCUCGGUAUGUAAACUUCUAUCAGCAGGGAAGAAAGUGACGGUACCUGACUAAGAAGCCCCGGCUAACUACGUGCCUGCAGCCGCGGUAAUCUGAGCGGGCUGGCAAGGC